AAAUAUAAAAAGGCAAUUUUAUUCAAAGUGCGUUACAAAAAUAUUAAGUGCAUAAUAGAAAACCGAUCAAGAGACGUAGGAAGAACCUAACUUGGCAAAACAUAUACAUGUGCAGGAUUUGUGGUUGGAUUUAAAUCCACCAAUUAAUGAAACUGCACCUUCUGACGAAGCACCACAAAAUAAUUUAGCUGCUAAGCUGGCCAAGCGAGGUUCAACCUGAUCAACUAAAAACUCACAGCAGCGCAGCGUAAAGGAAAUAACUUGGAUGAGAAUUAAAACUAUAUAUACUGGACGAAUAAACAACGAAGAGCAUGCUACCACAGAUAUUUUUUUAAUUAAUAAUUUUUUAUAUUUAUAUAACCUAACCUUAACCAUUAAAGUUACAGCCACUCAGCUACAGGCCUGCAUGCACACGUGGAUUUAAAAAGGUAACAAGUAAAAACAAAACAAAAAAAAUAAA